UUUUAAUAUCACCUUUUAGACAAAAUAACAAUUUCCAAGUCUGUUUUCUAUUUGAUUUAUUUGAUGUAUUUCCGACCUCGUUCUAGGGUAAUAAAAUUUUCUGC